rnacentral:miRNA from 1 species
CAGAGGCAGGCAGAUCUCUGUGAGUUCGAGGCCAGCCUGGUCUACAGAGUGAGUUCCAGGGCACCCAGGGUUACACAGAGAGAAACCCUGUCUUGAAAAG